CGUGUAGGCUGCUCUGCAAGUCGGGUGUGAAAGCCCUGGGCUCAACCUAGGAAGUGCACUCGAAACUGCAAAGCUUGAGUCCUGGAGAGGAAGGCGGAAUUCUCGGUGUAGAGGUGAAAUUCGUAGAUAUCGAGAGGAACACCGGUGGCGAAGGCGGCCUUCUGGACAGUGACUGACGCUGAGACGCGAAAGCGUGGGGAGCAAACAGGAUUAGAUACCCUGGUAGUCCACGCCGUAAACGAUGGGUGCUAGGUGUCGCGGGCUUUGACCCCUGCGGUGCCGUAGCUAACGCAUUAAGCACCCCGCCUGGGGAGUACGGCCGCAAGGCUAAA
rnacentral:rRNA from 1 species